UACGGGGGGGGCAAGCGUUGUUCGGAAUUAUUGGGCGUAAAGGGCGCGUAGGCGGUUUGUUAAGUCGGUUGUGAAAGCCCGGGGCUCAACCCCGGAGGGUCGACCGAUACUGGCAGGCUAGAGUACAGAAGAGGUAGCUGGAAUUCCCGGUGUAGCGGUGAAAUGCGUAGAUAUCGGGGGGAACACCAGAGGCGAAGGCGGGCUACUGGGCUGAUACUGACGCUGAUGCGCGAAAGCCAGGGGAGCAAACGGG
rnacentral:rRNA from 1 species